AUUAUGCCCGUGCGGUGUAGAAAGAAGAGUUGCCAUGUUCUGGAAAGAACGCCGAGUACUCAUCGUAUGAGCGUCGUGGGAGCUGAAUUCUGAAGGAAGGCAGUUUUUUUCAAAACUUCUUCCAGUGCAAGAAGGGCGAGACUGUGCAGGCGCAUGACGUCAACAGGACCGCAUGGAGAGUUUAAAAAGGAGACCACCCUAUACAGCGGGCAGCGGAGUGAGCGGUAGCAGAGCGUAGGGCUUUGGCUUCAACGGGCUUCGGCGGUAAACAGGAACAGGCGACAGCGUGGCAUCAACUCUUUUUUUCUCCCCCCCACCCCUUUCGCGAAUCGGCCCGGACAGACAGGAACAGCAGGGCUCUCACAGCUAACAGUACAAGCUAACGAUUUUAAAAGUUCGUCCGUUUGGUGAGGUAGGUGGCUUGCAUUCACAGGUAUGACAGGCAUUCGAGAGGAUGACACUCAGCCUGAGGGUGACUACCCCACCAUUGAGCCUGGAGAUUUUGUCCUGAUUAAGAACUGGAAUCGUAAGAAGUUGGAACAGAGGUGGAAAGGACCGUACCAAGUGCUACUGACAACACCUAUUGCAGUGAAGGUGGAAGGGCAGCUCCAGUGGAUACAUCGAACGGACUAUAAACUCGUUACUGGCGGAACUGAUAAGGAGUGAAAAAUGCAUUGGUUAAUGAUGAUUUAAAUGACCCUAAGGGGACCUGCCCCUGUUUCGGGAGGCCCCCAUGUUAACACUUUUCUGUCCCUCCUACGCUAAGCAAGUAGAAUUUGGAGUAUGUUGGAUAUGUUUUGUAUCAUGUUGCAGAAGCGACAAUCUGUUCUUAAAAGUUAUCAUGUAACGAUAAAAAGGAGGGAAUGAUAAAGUUUAAGGGAAUGGGGAAUUCUCAAAUCCCUGUAAACAAUGAAUUAAGUACUGACUAUGUCUGUGACCGCAGUGUGUUUGAAUAAUGAAUCACAGAUGCCUUCUUUGGAGCAAGAUGAUUAAAGUUCGCCCAGAUCCACAUCAGAUGUCUCUGGGCUUUUCACACCUUUUGAUUUUAACAAAAAGCAGUCCCUGAUGGAAAUUAGACAGAACAUUCCUUUCUUAAUUAAAGCAUAAAUUUGACGGAUGUUCUUAUCUUUGUAAUGAAGUUGUGGCUCCAGCAAACCAGGUAGGACAUUCCUUUCUUUAAGUAAGAUGGUUGGAGUGUCUAACAAAUUGAUUGUACUUUUGUAUAAAUAGUCCAUUGACUUGACCGGAAUGGUUAUCAAACUGAUUGUUCUUUUGUAUCGGUGGCCUUAUAACUUCUGACAAUUCUGACAUUGGGCAGUGAACUUGUAAACCGCCGGGGAGAUGAGAAAGGGUCUCUCCCUGAUGUCGGGUCUAAGUUCACUCACCGGCUGAGCUCGAAGAAAUAAA